rnacentral:misc_RNA from 1 species
GAGCAGUGUGGCUCCAGGGCCUCUUGUUAUGAAAAGUGUUUUUGUCCUUAAGAGUUUUAUCUUUUUAUUGGUCCCAAUUUUUCACAAUCUAACCUAUGCUCAAUUAUCAAACAGUGACCUCUUAUGAAUUUUCUAUGCAAAAAUAAUUUUAUAACCAGUGUGAGAAACGUGAACCACCGAUUGCUCAAGAAGCACCAUGAAUUACUAUUGUUUAACACUAUGCUAUUUAUUCAGGUAUCAUUCAUGAUGUUGAAAGUACAGUAAAACUCGGUUAUAGCAAAGUGGUAAGGACCAGUGGAUUUACUUCGUUAUAUCCGUAAUUCGUUAUAUGCGUAUAAACAACUCGUAAUAAUAACUUUAGCAAAUUCACUAUCUACAUGUUUUCUCUCACCAAACUGCAGUUUUUGCUAAUUGAGGUUUAGAAUGAAAAUACUUUCUUUUGAUACCUGUAAGUUUAUUAACUGGAUUGUAAAUUGAAAAAAAAUAUGUGAAAAUAAAUUCAUAAAAACUAUCAUGUUAUAUAGUAGUGAAAAAUAUUAAACUGUAAAGGAAUUUGCUAUAUAUUUUAUUAGAUUAUUAGUUUUUAAAUUUUCAUCCCUCUACGGGAUUCAAAAUCAGUUUGUUAUAUCCGAAUUCUUUUUAACCAUAUAAUUUUGCAAAGAUUAUUUGAAAAUUUUGCCGGGGACUCAAAAAAACUUUGCUAUAUCCGUUAAUUCACUAUAUUCGUGUUCGUACUAAACGAGUUUUACUGUAUAAUAUCUAGUCUGUUGUUUUAGAUUUCACAAUUUAUAAAAACAGGAUAAGAUAUUGAACCUUGUCAAUUAUGAUAAUUUUAUAUGCAGCUUGAUAUAUGUUGCCAAAACAUACUAACACUCAUUGGGCAUGAUAAAAAGUCAUUAACAACGAAUACUGUUAUAUAUUUGUAGCUUUUAUGCAUUACAAAACGAACAUUUUUCGAUUUCCUAUGUUUGGCUUAUGUUAUUUGUAUUAAAGAAAAUAAAAGCAUCCACAAGC